GACGAACGCUGGCGGCGUGCCUAAUACAUGCAAGUAGAACGCACAGUUUAUACCGUAGCUUGCUACACCAUAAACUGUGAGUUGCGAACGGGUGAGUAACGCGUAGGUAACCUGCCUGGUAGCGGGGGAUAACUAUUGGAAACGAUAGCUAAUACCGCAUAAUAUUAAUUAUUGCAUGAUAAUUGAUUGAAAGAUGCAAUUGCAUCACUACCAGAUGGACCUGCGUUGUAUUAGCUAGUAGGGGAGGUAACGGCUCACCUAGGCGACGAUACAUAGCCGACCUGGGAGGGUGGUCGGCCACACUGGGACUGGGACACGGCCCCGACUCCUACGGGGGGCAGCCGUAGGGAAUCUUCGGCCAUGGACGAAAGUCUGACCGAGCAACGCCGCGUGAGUGAAGAAGGUUUUCGGAUCGUAAAGCUCUGUUGUGAGAGAAGAACGGGUGUGAGAGUGGAAAGUUCACACUGUGACGGUAUCUUACCAGAAAGGGACGGCUAACUACGUG
rnacentral:rRNA from 1 species